rnacentral:rRNA from 1 species
AGAGCGAACGCUGGCGGCAGGCUUAACACAUGCAAGUCGAGCGCGUGUAGCAAUACACGAGCGGCAGACGGGAGAGUAACACGUGGGAACGUACCCUUCAGUUCGGAACAACCCAGGGAAACUUGGACUAAUACCGGAUACGUCCGUAAGGAGAAAGAUUUAUCGCUGAAGGAUCGGCCCGCGUCUGAUUAGCUUGUUGGUGAGGUAACGGCUCACCAAGGCGACGAUCAGUAGCUGGUCUGAGAGGAUGAUCAGCCUCACUGGGACUGAGACACGGCCCAGACUCCUACGGGAGGCAGCAGUGGGGAAUAUUGGACAAUGGGCGCAAGCCUGAUCCAGCCAUGCCGCGUGGGUGAUGAAGGCCCUAGGGUUGUAAAGCCUUUCGGCGGGGAAGAUAAUGACGGUACCGCAGAAGAGCCCCGGCUAACUUCGUGCCAGCAGCCGC